rnacentral:misc_RNA from 1 species
AGUUCGAUUAUGGCUCAGAUUGAACGCUGGCGGGAUGCUUUACACAUGCAAGUCGAACGGCAGCACGGACUUCGGUCUGGUGGCAGUGGCGAACGGGUGAGUAAUGUAUCGGAACGUGCCUAGUAGCGGGGGGUCGCUACGCGAAAGCGUAGCUAAUACCACAUACGCCCUUCGGGGAAAGCGGGGGACCUUCGGGCCUCGCACUAUUAUUGAAGCGGCCGAUAUCGGAUUAGCUAGUUGGUGGGGUAACGGCUCACCAAGGCGACGAUCCGUAGCUGGUUUGAGAGGACGACCAGCCACACUGGGACUGAGACACGGCCCAGACUCCACGGGAGGCAGCAGUGAAGGGAAUUUUUGGACAAUGGGGAAACCUGAUCCAGCCAUCCCGCGUGUGCGAUGAAGGCCUUCGGGUUGUAAAGCACUUUUGGCAGGAAAGAAACGGCACGGGAUAAUACCCCGUGCAGCCUGGCGGUACCUGCCGAAUAAGCACCGGUAACUACGUGCCAGCAGCCGCGGUAAUACGUAGGGUGCAGCGUUAAUCGGAAUUACUGGGCGUAAAGCGUGCGCAG